UGAACGCUGGCGGCGUGCUUAACACAUGCAAGUCGAACGGAGUUAUGGAGAGAGAGUAAGGUGCUUGCACCAAGUGAUCAUUUCAUAACUUAGUGGCGGACGGGUGAGUAACGCGUGGGUAACCUGCCAUAUACAGGGGGAUAACACUUAGAAAUAGGUGCUAAAACCGCAUAAGCGCACAGCUUCGCAUGAAGCAGUGUGAAAAACUCCGGUGGUAUAUGAUGGACCCGCGUCUGAUUAGCCAGUUGGCAGGGUAACGGCCUACCAAAGCGACGAUCAGUAGCCGGCCUGAGAGGGUGAACGGCCACAUUGGGACUGAGACACGGCCCAAACUCCUACGGGAGGCAGCAGUGGGGAAUAUUGCACAAUGGGGGAAACCCUGAUGCAGCGACGCCGCGUGAGUGAAGAAGUAUUUCGGUAUGUAAAGCUCUAUCAGCAGGGAAGAAAAUGACGGUACCUGAGUAAGAAGCCCCGGCUAACUACGUGCCAGCAGCCGCGGUAAUACGUAGGGGGCAAGCGUUAUCCGGAUUUACUGGGUGUAAAGAGAGCGUAGACGGCGAGACAAGUCUGAAGUGAAAACCCGGGGCUCAACCCUGGGACUGCUUUGGAAACUGCCUGGCUGGAGUGCAGGAGAGGUAAGUGGAAUUCCUAGUGUAGCGGUGAAAUGCGUAGAUAUUAGGAGGAACACCAGUGGCGAAGGCGGCUUACUGGACUGUAACUGACGUUGAGGCUCGAAAGCGUGGGGAGCAAACAGGAUUAGAUACCCUGGUAGUCCACGCCGUAAACGAUGAUCACUAGGUGUUGGGGGCCUAUAGGCCUUCGGUGCCGUCGCAAACGCAAUAAGUGAUCCACCUGGGGAGUACGUUCGCAAGAAUGCAACUCAAAUGAAUUGACGG
rnacentral:rRNA from 1 species